UCCUGGCUCAGAUUGAUCGCUGGCGGCAUGCUUUACACAUGCAAGUCGAACGGCAGCACGAAAGAGCUUGCUCUUUUGGUGGCGAGUGGCGAACGGGUGAGUAAUACAUUGGAACGUACCGAGUAAUGGGGGAUAACUGUCCGAAAGGAUGGCUAAUACCGCAUACGCUCUGAGGAGGAAAGCGGGGGACCUUCGGGCCUCGCGUUAUUCGAGCGGCCAAUGUCUGAUUAGCUAGUUGGUGGGGUAAAGGCCUACCAAGGCGACGAUCAGUAGUGGGUCUGAGAGGAUGAUCCGCCACACUGGGACUGAGACACGGCCCAGACUCCUACGGGAGGCAGCAGUGGGGAAUUUUGGACAAUGGGCGAAAGCCUGAUCCAGCCAUGCCGCGUGUCUGAAGAAGGCCUUCGGGUUGUAAAGGACUUUUGUCAGGGAAGAAAGGGUUUGGGUUAAUACCC
rnacentral:rRNA from 1 species